rnacentral:rRNA from 1 species
UAUUGGACAAUGGGGGCAACCCUGAUCCAGCCAUGCCGCGUGAGUGAUGAAGGCCUUCGGGUUGUAAAGCUCUUUUGGCGGGGACGAUGAUGACGGUACCCGCAGAAUAAGCCCCGGCUAACUUCGUGCCAGCAGCCCCGGUAAGACGAAGGGGGCUAGCGUUGUUCGGAAUUACUGGGCGUAAAGCGAGUGUAGGUGGUCAUCCAAGUUGGAUGUGAAAGCCUUGGGCUUAACCCAAGAAAUGCAUUCAGGACUGGAUGACUAGAGGACCGGAGAGGAUAGUGGAAUUCCCAGCGUAGUGGUGAAAUACGUAGAGAUUGGGAAGAACACCAGUGGCGAAGGCGGCUAUCUGGACGGUUCUGACACUAAGACUCGAAC